UUGUGCCGAAGGAAAGACGCUUGGGAAAUAAAAUAUUAUGAUAUGGGUCGAGCUGGUCGGCUUUCUUAAAUUAUACGGUCAACUGUUGGCCGUUGUUUUUACUCGGCUACAUUUUGUACCUGCAAUAAAAUAGCAACGAAUUCGAGUUACUGAAUUUCUUGUUCAGGCAGUGUUGUAGGGUCAAUGCUUAGAAGGCGCAGUCUUCAGCUACCCUUAGACUUGGCCUCAAGGCAUGAGUCUCAAUAACUCCAGGCGUAAUCCUUGACAAAUAGCACUCGAGGUGUAAGCUUCAAUGAAUAAAGGUUACAUGCCAAUAUUGAAGUGCAUCAUGAUUCACGACCCCAAUAAUUAACAUAGGCGAUAUAUAUGAUAAUUACUCUUUAAGUUCUAAAAACACUACGAAAAUGAAAGUAUAUAUGCAAAAUGGACAAGAAAGCACCAAAACAAAAUAAUCUUAUCCAGAAACAUACAGAGGUCAAUACUCACUUUCAACUAUUUUCUCAGAGCCGAGCAAGAGAGACAUCAAUCUGAACACCAACGGCUGCAUUAUCUUUCACAAGAGUAAUGUCUAAGAUUCCAUUAAAGAAAUACAUAAAAUAAGAAGCAAUAAGAAAUUAAGCCCAAAUAUAGUGAUCCUGAAGCACUCAAUAAAGGACGCUCGAAGCAAGAGAGACUCAUCCUGUUAGUUUAUUCACUCUAGCAAGAAUGGAGUUUCUGCACUAGGUUAUAUUCUGCUCCCUGAGUUGAAUAAAGACAUGUAACAUAGAUUAUAAACAAGAAGUAAUUAGUCCAGUUACAACUGUUUUGGCAAUUAACGUGAUUGAGAACAAAGAUU
rnacentral:lncRNA from 1 species